rnacentral:rRNA from 1 species
CAGCAGCCGCGGUAAUACAGAGGGUGCAAGCGUUAAUCGGAAUUACUGGGCGUAAAGCGCGCGUAGGUGGUUUGUUAAGUUGGAUGUGAAAUCCCCGGGCUCAACCUGGGAACUGCAUUCAAAACUGACUGACUAGAGUAUGGUAGAGGGUGGUGGAAUUUCCUGUGUAGCGGUGAAAUGCGUAGAUAUAGGAAGGAACACCAGUGGCGAAGGCGACCACCUGGACUAAUACUGACACUGAGGUGCGAAAGCGUGGGGAGCAAACAGGAUUAGAUACCCCCGUAGUCCCUGUCUCUUAUAC